GAGGAGUCACCCUCAUCAAUGUCUUUUCUAUCUCUUCACAGAUGCAUGUAGUAUCCAGUCAGCCCAACAACAAAAGGGCAGCAACUAGGUUCAUGACCACUAAAUUGCUAGCUUUAUCGUGCCUAACUUUAAAUGUGAGUGGUGGCUAUCUUUUUUCUCAAUUUUUAUUUUUGUUUUUUUGUUGGUAGGUCUUGUUGCUUUGCUUUCCAUGUAAGAAGACAUUAAUGUGCACAUGAAGGGAAAGGAAGCUCGUAACAUCAGUCACACAAUCCAAACUUAAUGAAAUCUGAAACAUUUCAGGAAUUUUAUGGAGAAAAAUGUGAUUAGCAGUUAAGACCAGGGAAUUCUUGAUUCUGGAUGUCUAUUAGAUGGCUAGCUAGCUCCUAAAAAGAGAGGCUAGCUGGUUUUCCGGAUAAAAGUAGCUCUAGUGUGAUUGUUAAACCCAGC
rnacentral:lncRNA from 1 species